rnacentral:rRNA from 1 species
UACGUAGGGUGCGAGCGUUGUCCGGAAUUACUGGGCGUAAAGAGCGCGCAGGCGGUCGUUCAAGUCGAGUGUGAAAGCCCCCGGCUCAACUGGGGAGGGUCACUCGAUACUGAUCGACUCGAAGGCAGGAGAGGGAAGCGGAAUUCCCGGUGUAGUGGUGAAAUGCGUAGAUAUCGGGAGGAACACCAGUGGCGAAGGCGGCUUUCUGGCCUGCUCUUGACGCUGAGGCGCGAAAGCUAGGGUAGCAAACGGG